UACGGGGGGGGCAAGCGUUGUUCGGAAUUACUGGGCGUAAAGGGCUCGUAGGCGGCCAACUAAGUCGGACGUGAAAUCCCUCAGCUUAACUGGGGAACUGCGUCCGAUACUGGAUGGCUUGGAUUUGGGAGAGGGAUGCGGAAUUCCAGGUGUAGCGGUGAAAUGCGUAGAUAUCAGGAGGAACACCGGUGGCGAAGGCGGGUCUCUGGGCAGUAACUGACGCUGAGGAGCGAAAGCGUGGGGAGCGAACAGG
rnacentral:rRNA from 1 species